CCAGAAGGGGUUACGAAAACGUUUGCUAUUUAUCACUUACAAACAGAAAUAUAAAAGGUAAAGAUACAAUAUUCCCGAAAAGAGUUUUCUGGUUUCUUUUCGUGCCCCUCUAUAUAUUUAUCGGUGGAAAAUUCUGACAAGAAAGAAGAAUAAUAUGGUUCGUUCACAGGAGGUCAAAAGACCCGUAAAAUGGCAAUGGGAGUAAGCGGAAAUGACAACGGCUGCUUCUCUAGGAUAAAAAAUUUCCUCGAAAAAUAUUAGAAAACAAAAGAACGUAAAGAAAAGCCUUUUAUGAAAAUUUGCCAGCAAAUAAAAUCAAGUUUCAAACGUAUUGUGAUGGGGGCUUUGCAGAUAAAUUUUAUCAAUCUUCACGUUUAUCGGAAAUAUGUUGAAAAGUAUCGCCUGUGUCAUCGCUGAAUUCCACCGACAGUGGCCAAGCGGUCUUCGUGCCUUGAACACUUGGAGUUCGG